CGUGUAGGCGGGAAUACAAGUCAGAUGUGAAAUACUGCGGCUCAACUGCAGAAUGGCAUCUGAAACUGUAUUUCUUGAGUACUGGAGAGGAAAGCGGAAUUCCUAGUGUAGCGGUGAAAUGCGUAGAUAUUAGGAGGAACACCGGUGGCGAAGGCGGCUUUCUGGACGGUAACUGACGCUGAGACGCGAAAGCGUGGGGAGCAAACAGGAUUAGAUACCCUGGUAGUCC
rnacentral:rRNA from 1 species